rnacentral:lncRNA from 1 species
AGAGGAGAACGAGGAUGGUAGCCGAGGUGUGUGCUGCUUUGGACGCUCUGCUUUUAGCAACCGCAGCUUUCGCGUAGCAGAAUAAAUCCGAGAAUAACGCUCCCAACUUACACUCUUUUCUAUAGCUGUACUCCGCGCGAUCUUUUAGAAACCAGAGGCGAAGCAAGCCUUCUCUCAGCUACCAAGCACGGAGCCCGGACAGUGAAAUGAGCUGUGCCUUUAAGUAAAGUGUGUUUUACUUUUUUGUUGUUAGAACCUCCGCGGGCUGGGUAACUUUGUUUUUUGCCUUUUUGAAAAGUUUCUACUUCUCUUUUUCUGUUACUCCAAGAGCCGUCAGUUUUAGGUACCACCCACCACAAUCCCUGAAAGAAUAAAGUAACCAAGUGUAU